AAAAAGCUAGUUAAUUCAUAACACUAGAUUGUCAAUCUAGAAUUACUUUUAUAGUGCUUUUUU
rnacentral:tRNA from 1 species